rnacentral:rRNA from 1 species
GAAUGUAGAAGAGUGGCGAACGGGUGAGGAACACGUAAGAAUCUGCCCCUCGGUCGGGGACAACUCUUGGAAACGAGAGCUAAUACCCGAUACGCUGUGGAGUGAAAGAAUUUCGCCGAGGGAUGAUCUUGCGUCUGAUUAGCUAGUUGGUGUGGUAAUGGCAUACCAAGGCGACGAUCAGUAGCUGGUCUGAGAGGAUGAACAGCCACAUUGGAACUGAGACACGGUCCAAACUCCUACGGGAGGCAGCAGUGGGGAAUUUUCCGCAAUGGACGAAAGUCUGACGGAGCGACGCUGCGUGAAGGAUGACGGCCUGCGGGUUGUAAACUUCUUUUCUCGAAGAAGAAGCUCUGACGGUAUUCGAGGAAUAAGCAUCGGCUAACUCCGUGCCAGCAGCCGCGGUAAUACGGAGGAUGCAAGUGUUAUUCGGAAUGAUUGGGCGUAAAGCGUCUGUAGGCUGUAUAGAAAGUCUUUUGUUAAAUGCCUCGGCUCAACCGAGAUCCAGCAAAGGAAACUUCUAUACUUGAGGGAAGUAGAGGUACAGGGAAUUCCCGGUGUAGCGGUGAAAUGCGUAGAGAUCGGGAGGAAUACCAGUGGCGAAGGCGGCCUUCUGGACUGACACUGACACUGAGGUGCGAAAGCGUGGGUAG